UGAUGGCCGAGGGAGGGAUACCUGAUCCACUCUCUCUGCAUGUGUGUACAAGAAAGAGAGAGCAAGGAAAAAGGAAAGAGAAGAAAGGAACACAGGGGAGGCCAAACCAAACAACGAUUAGGACACUGCUCUCAGGGCCGUAUUUAUCCUGGUUGGAGGACGCACAGAUGGAGGGGGAAAAUAACACAAAUAAGAAGAGAUUAAAGUUGAAUUCUGUGGGAUAUUUCCAGCAAUGUCUCCUGUGACCUCUGUUCAACACUGCAUCAUUAGGUAGAAACAUGGCUCCCGGCCCCCCUCUGAGCGAGAUGAAGGCUACG